GGGUCAGUAGGUUGGUCGUGCCACCGGUACGUACUGGUCUCACUGAUUCCUCCUUCCUGAAGAACCGUAAUGCCAUUAAUUUGGUGUUGCGGGGAAACAGGACUGUUACUUUGAAAAAAUUAGAGUGUUUAGAGCAAGCUAACGCUUGAAUACAUUAGCAUGGAAUAAUGAAAUAGGACGAUCGAUCCUAUUUUGUUGGUUUCUAAGAUUGACGUA
rnacentral:rRNA from 1 species